rnacentral:rRNA from 1 species
ACUUUAAAUCCUUUAACGAGGAACAAUUGGAGGGCAAGUCUGGUGCCAGCAGCCGCGGUAAUUCCAGCUCCAAUAGCGUAUAUUAAAGUUGUUGCGGUUAAAAAGCUCGUAGUUGGAUCUCGGCGAGCAGGGGGUGGCUCGGUGUAUAUCGCUGCUGCCCCAUUCGCUCGUGUUUUUGACGGAGGCUUCAGGUUGCCCUUUAUUGUGAGUGUCUGAGGCGCCGUCAGGUUUACUUUGAAAAAAUUAGAGUGCUCAAAGCAGGCUUUACAAGCUUGAAUAUUCGUGCAUGGAAUAAUGGAAUAGGAAGUCGUUCCUAUUUUGUUGGUUUUCGGGAAUUGACUUAAUGAUUAAUAGGGACAGCCGGGGGCAUUAGUAUUCAGACGACAGAGGUGAAAUUCUUGGACCGUCUGAAGACUAACUACUGCGAAAGCAUUUGCCAAGAGUGUUUUCAUUAAUCAAGAACGAAAGUUAGAGGUUCGAAGGCGAUCAGAUACCGCCCUAGUUCUAACCAUAAACGAUGCCAGCUAGCGAUCCGCAGGCGUUAUUAGAAGGCCCUGCGGGAAGCUUCCGGGAAACCAAAGCUUUUGGGUUCCGGGGGAAGUAUGGUUGCAAAGCUGAAACUUAAAGGAAUUGACGGAAGGGCACCACCAGGAGUGGAGCCUGCGGCUUAAUUUGACUCAACACGGGAAAUCUCACCAGGCCCGGACACUGGAAGGAUUGACAGAUUGAGAGCUCUU